rnacentral:rRNA from 1 species
CAGUCGCCGCGGUAAUACGUAGGUGGCAAGCGUUGUCCGGAAUUAUUGGGCGUAAAGGGCUCGCAGGCGGUUUCUUAAGUCUGAUGUGAAAGCCCCCGGCUCAACCGGGGAGGGUCAUUGGAAACUGGGAAACUUGAGUGCAGAAGAGGAGAGUGGAAUUCCACGUGUAGCGGUGAAAUGCGUAGAGACGUGGAGGAACACCAGUGGCGAAGGCGACUCUCUGGUCUGUAACUGACGCUGAGGAGCGAAAGCGUGGGGAGCGAACAGGAUUAGAUACCCCCGUAGUCCCUGUCUCUUAUAA